rnacentral:tRNA from 1 species
GCCUUCGUGGUGUAGUGGUUCUGCACGCUGGGCCACUAUUCCAGAGGUCCGUGGGUUCGAUUCCCGGCGAAGGCG